rnacentral:snRNA from 1 species
UAGCAGGGAGUUAAGCACAUGUUCGAAUUAAUCUCUCGCCUUUUACUAGAGAUCACCGUGUACUUGUCUCAAUACCUGCGUUCUAAUUUCUUUCUCCCCCAUUUACUUGGGUCA